CGCGUAGGCGGCGAGGCAAGUUGGAUGUGAAAGCCCUGGGCUCAACCUAGGAUGUGCAUACAAAACUGCCUCGCUUGAAUCUCGGAGGGGGUCAGGGAAUUCCCGGUGUAGAGGUGAAAUUCGUAGAUAUCGGGAGGAACACCAGUGGCGAAGGCGCUGACCUGGACGAAGAUUGACGCUGAGGCGCGAAAGCGUGGGGAGCAAACAG
rnacentral:rRNA from 1 species